CGCAUCUGUGCAUGCAGCAUAUCAAUAAGCGGAGGAAAAGAAACUAACAAGGAUUCCCUUAGUAACGGCGAGUGAAGCGGGAAGAGCUCAAAUUUGAAAUCUUCAAGGUUUUACCUUGACGAAUUGUAGUUUAAAGAAGUGUUUUCUGUUGAAGUUUUGGUAAAAGUUCUUUUUGGAAUUAGGACAUCAUAGAGGGUGAGAAUCCCGUAUUUGACCAUUAUUUUCAGCUGUGUGAUACACUUUCAAAGAGUCGGAUUGUUUGGGAAUGCAGUCCAAAAUGGGUGGUAAAUUUCAUCUAAAGCUAAAUAUUGGCGAGAGACCGAUAGCGAACAAGUACCGUGAGGGAAAGAUGAAAAGAACUUUGAAAAGAGAGUUAAACAGUACGUGAAAUUGUCAAAAGGGAAGCGUUUGACACCAGUGUUGUUUUCUCGAAAAUCAAUUAAAAAGAGUUAGAUUUUGUUGUGUAUUGACCUUAACAGCUUGCAUUUCAAUUUUCUUGCUUUUUUUAGUGCACUUUUCGUUUAACAAGUCAACAUCAGUUUCUUUUGUUGUAAAAAGGUCAUUGGAAGGUGGCUUUCUUUUCGGAGAAAGUGUUUAUAGCCUUUGACUCCUGCAAUCGGAGAGACUGAGGUCUGCAGCGUAGAUCCUUCGGGGUUAGAUACAUUUGUGCUAAGUUAUAGCUUUUUAUAGACAACUUGUUGACUAUGAUUAGUCUUGUAGCUUACUCGCUUAUGCUAUUUUACCUACGCUUAGGAUGUUGACGCGCGUGUGUGCGU
rnacentral:rRNA from 1 species